UUAACGCGAAGGAAACCUUACCAGGGCUUGACAUGGGGAGGCUGUAUUCAGAGAUGGAUAUUUCCUGCAAGGGACCUCCUGCACAGGUGCUGCAUGGCUGUCGUCAGCUCGUGUCGUGAGAUGUUGGGUUAAGUCCCGCAACGAGCGCAACCCUCGCCUUUAGUUGCCAGCAUGAUUGGGUGGGCACUCUAAAGGAACUGCCGGUGACAAGCCGGAGGAAGGUGGGGAUGACGUCAAGUCCUCAUGGCCCUUAUGUCCUGGGCUACACACGUGCUACAAUGGCGGUGACAGUGGGGAGCCAGGCAGUGAUGCCGAGCUGAUCUCAAAAAGCCGUCUCAGUUCGGAUUGCACUCUGCAACUCGAGUGCAUGAAGGUGGAAUCGCUAGUAAUCGCGGAUCAGCAUACCGCGGGAAACGACAU
rnacentral:rRNA from 1 species